UGUCUAAUUAAAACAAAGCAUUGCGAUGGCCCUCGCGGGUGUUGACGCAAUGUGAUUUCUGCCUAGUGCUCUGAAUAUCAACGUGAAGAAAUUCAAGCAAGCGCGGGUAAACGGCGGGAGUAACUAUGACUCUCUUAAGUCGUAGCGUAGAUAGAGGUCGUAGAUAGAACACUAGGAGUUCUCUCGGAGGAUGUGGGCUAUCGAAUGGGUGAU
rnacentral:ncRNA from 1 species